CACAUCCUCAAAUCUGGUGACCCACGUGGGGGGUAUUUAGUACCCCUGAAUAUGAGGAGCCCUUCAGUUGAGGCAGGUGCCAGCCUCUUUCGGGUUCCCAUUCAGUCUCCUGAGGUUUUCAGGGUGGAGCCUUUUUAGAAGGUUAAAGAGGAGAUAGAAUGGAGAACGUCUGUCUGCUCCCAGUCCACCACCCUUCUAGGGACCCUGGAGUUCAAGACUCACUGUCCUCUACCCUGAGGAGAAGCUUGAAGGGGUUGGGCCAAUCGAGAACAGAGGCUGAGACCCAGCAGCGAUGGGCCAGAGUGGUGGGAGGCCUUCAUGCAGGCUUGGAGACCCCUCCCCGGACCCAGGGAGUCUCAGCAUUCCCCUAAUUUGGCGUCCCACCCUCCUGACGCAGCUGAGACUAUAAUAAGUGCUGUCGUGGGCGGCUCUCGGAGGCAGAGGCAGGAGCUGGGAGCGUGCUUGGCCUGGUAGGGGGUGAGGUGGGGGGGGGGUGCCAGGAUGCUGGAUGCCCUUUGUUUUCCUGAGACCCCUAUACCCUGAAACUCUGCUAGGGUCCUGUCCUGAGGUCAGCACUCCCCUCUCCACCCCACCCCAGGACGACACCUUUCCAGGGACAGGAGACCCUUCAGGAGCCUUCUCUGAAUUUUCGGAAAACAGAGGGUGUAGGUUGAUUUGCUGCUUCUGCCUUAAUUUUCCUUCCUUCCUUUGGUGGCCUCAGUUUUCCUUUAUGUUCAGUGGGAACGGAAUCCUGACUCUUAGAGAAGAGUGCAACAAAUCACUUAUGAACAGUGGAGUCUUCGGAGAUUUCAGCCUCCAGCCCUCCUCAGUCCCUCCUUCUCCAGAGCUAAGCAGAGCGAUUCCACCUGCACUAAACCUUCUUCCUCCUCCUUUUUUUUCCCACAGGGGUGGGGCUUGGAGUUCCUCCCUAAGAGGCCCCAUGGGCCACUCCCCCUAGGUCUGCUUUUCCACCCACCGAGGCUGUAGGAAAGGUGUCAGCCAUUGUUCUUGGCAAAGGGUGGAGACCGGAGGCAAGAGGGCCACUAGCCUCAGAAAGGCAAUGCUAAGGGGAUCAGACUGUCCCCUUAGGAACCAGAGCCAAAUUUUCCUUCCCCGGUUAUGGUGUGGUGGCCUCCACCAUCAACAAGGUCCGGCAGGAGUAUCCCCCAAUAGGAAGAAUGGUCUCUUGAACCCCCACCCGGCCCCAGGGAGACAGCUAAGACUGGAGCGGCUGGGAGACCAGGAUAUGAUGAAAGAUGCACUUCUCCCAGACACCUUUCACGAACCACGUAGCUGGCUUUUGUCAGUUCUUUGCCACCCCAGAGGUCAAUGAGAGGACAGUAGGCCGGAGACGGCUUUCAGCUCCACCAGCUCCUUAGUGGUGGGGCCCUGUGGAUAGAGAGAAGCUGUUCCUGCCAGGGCCCCACCACAGGACUGAAGGCUGGGUGGGCAGGAGGAUGUGGCGGAUGGUGUUGCCAUGGCAGCACUUCCUCCCUGUGUUGUCAUCACUUGCUCUAAUGGCACUAAGGAGGUAGAGCGGAAGCUGGAGAACAAGAGGUCACUGAUCCUUUGCGGGUCCUGGGAAUGAAGACAUUAUCCAGUCCCAGAACCUCCUGCCCCACACUGCUUCCUGCCCUGGACUCCCCAGGCAGGGUCCGAGUCUACCAUAGUCUGUCCAGUGAGGCCUGGAUGCUGUUCCGAAGUUCAGGGUCACCCACCCUCUCUGCCAGCUUCCUGAGGCGGCAAAGAGACUGCUUGGCCACCUCGUGUCGUCUGACUUCUGCUCUCACAGCAGCUCCAGCCAACUGCCUCUGGGCAUGCAUGUUGCCCCGACCUGUCUUGCCGGGCUAACAGCAACCUCUGGCCCUGAAGCCCAUGGCCCCGUAGUCCCUCAACACCAGAAGGCCCCUUCUUCUGUGCCCCAGAACUCCCUGCUCCUGCCCGCCCUUCCGUCUGUCGGCCUCACUUCCUGACUGCCCCGGACCAGGUGCCUGCUCUGAAGAUACGGAGCACACUCCUGCCUGCACUUGUGGCUUUGUCACAUUCAGGAAAGCCCUGGCUCGAGGCAGCUGUUUUUCACACCGAAUUUCACUAGCACACUCACACCCAGC